rnacentral:rRNA from 1 species
AGUGAACGCUGGCGGUAGGCCUAACACAUGCAAGUCGAACGGCGGCACAGUAAGAGCUUGCUCUUACGGGUGGCGAGUGGCGGACGGGUGAGGAAUACAUCGGAAUCUACUUUUUCGUGGGGGAUAACGUAGGGAAACUUACGCUAAUACCGCAUACGACCUACGGGUGAAAGCAGGGGAUCUUCGGACCUUGCGCGAUUGAAUGAGCCGAUGUCGGAUUAGCUAGUUGGCGGGGUAAAGGCCCACCAAGGCGACGAUCCGUAGCUGGUCUGGGAGGAUGAUCAGCCACACUGGAACUGAGACACGGUCCAGACUCCUACGGGAGGCAGCAGUGGGGAAUAUUGGACAAUGGGCGCAAGCCUGAUCCAGCCAUACCGCGUGGGUGAAGAAGGCCUUCGGGUUGUAAAGCCCUUUUGUUGGGAAAGAAAAGCAGCAGGUUAAUACCCCGCUGUUCUGACGGUACCCAAAGAAUAAGCACCGGCUAACUUCGUG